GACGAACGCUGGCGGCGUGCUUAACACAUGCAAGUCGAACGGAAAGGCCCUGCUUUUGUGGGGUGCUCGAGUGGCGAACGGGUGAGUAACACGUGAGUAACCUGCCCUUGACUUUGGGAUAACUUCAGGAAACUGGGGCUAAUACCGGAUAGGAGCUCCUGCUGCAUGGUGGGGGUUGGAAAGUUUCGGCGGUUGGGGAUGGACUCGCGGCUUAUCAGCUUGUUGGUGGGGUAGUGGCUUACCAAGGCUUUGACGGGUAGCCGGCCUGAGAGGGUGACCGGCCACAUUGGGACUGAGAUACGGCCCAGACUCCUACGGGAGGCAGCAGUGGGGAAUAUUGCACAAUGGGCGGAAGCCUGAUGCAGCAACGCCGCGUGCGGGAUGACGGCCUUCGGGUUGUAAACCGCUUUCGCCUGUGACGAAGCGUAAGUGACGGUAAUGGGUAAAGAAGCACCGGCUAACUACGUGCCAGCAGCCGCGGUGAUACGUAGGGUGCGAGCGUUGUCCGGAUUUAUUGGGCGUAAAGGGCUCGUAGGUGGUUGAUCGCGUCGGAAGUGUAAUCUUGGGGCUUAACCCUGAGCGUGCUUUCGAUACGGGUUGACUUGAGGAAGGUAGGGGAGAAUGGAAUUCCUGGUGGAGCGGUGGAAUGCGCAGAUAUCAGGAGGAACACCAGUGGCGAAGGCGGUUCUCUGGGCCUUUCCUGACGCUGAGGAGCGAAAGCGUGGGGAGCGAACAGGCUUAGAUACCCUGGUAGUCCACGCUGUAAACGGUGGGUACUAGGUGUGGGGUCCAUUCCACGGGUUCCGUGCCGUAGCUAACGCUUUAAGUACCCCGCCUGGGGAGUACGGCCGCAAGGCUAAAACUCAAAGGAAUUGACGGGGCCCCGCACAAGCGGCGGAGCAUGCGGAUUAAUUCGAUGCAACGCGUAGAACCUUACCUGGGUUUGACAUGGAUCGGGAGUGCUCAGAGAUGGGUGUGCCUCUUUUGGGGUCGGUUCACAGGUGGUGCAUGGCUGUCGUCAGCUCGUGUCGUGAGAUGUUGGGUUAAGUCCCGCAACGAGCGCAACCCUUGUUCACUGUUGCCAGCACGUUAUGGUGGGGACUCAGUGGAGACCGCCGGGGUCAACUCGGAGGAAGGUGGGGAUGACGUCAAGUCAUCAUGCCCCUUAUGUCCAGGGCUUCACGCAUGCUACAAUGGCUGGUACAGAGAGUGGCGAGCCUGUGAGGGUGAGCGAAUCUCGGAAAGCCGGUCUCAGUUCGGAUUGGGGUCUGCAACUCGACCUCAUGAAGUCGGAGUCGCUAGUAAUCGCAGAUCAGCAACGCUGCGGUGAAUACGUUCCCGGG
rnacentral:rRNA from 1 species